GAUGAACGCUGGCGGCGUGCUUAACACAUGCAAGUCGAACGAAGCACCUUGAUUUGCUUCUUCGGAUGUAGAUCUUGGUGACUGAGUGGCGGACGGGUGAGUAACGCGUGGGUAACCUGCCUCCUACAGGGGGAUAACAGUUAGAAAUGACUGCUAUUACCGCAUAAGAUCACCGCACCGCAUGGUGCAGGGGUAAAAACUCCGGUGGUAUGGGAUGGACCCGCGUCUGAUUAGUUAGUUGGUAGGGUAAAGGCCUACCAAGCCGACGAUCAGUAGCCGACCUGAGAGGGUGACCAGCCACACUGGGACUGAGACACGGCCCAGACUCCUACGGGAGGCAGCAGUGGGGAAUAUUGCACAAUGGGGGAAAGCCUGAUGCAGCGACGCCGCGUGAGCGAUGAAGGAUUUAGGUAUGUAAAGCUCUAUUAGCAGGGAAGAAAAUGACAGUACCGGACUAAGAAGCACCGGCUAAAUACGUG
rnacentral:rRNA from 1 species